rnacentral:rRNA from 1 species
ACCCGCUGAACUUAAGCAUAUCAAUAAGCGGAGGAAAAGAAACCAACAGGGAUUGCCUUAGUAACGGCGAGUGAAGCGGCAACAGCUCAAAUUUGAAAUCUGGCCUCUUUGGGGUCCGAGUUGUAAUUUGCAGAGGGCGCUUUGGCGUUGGCAGCGGUCCAAGUUCCUUGGAACAGGACGUCACAGAGGGUGAGAAUCCCGUACGUGGUCGCUAGCCUUCGCCGUGUAAAGCCCCUUCGACGAGUCGAGUUGUUUGGGAAUGCAGCUCUAAAUGGGAGGUAAAUUUCUUCUAAAGCUAAAUACUGGCCAGAGACCGAUAGCGCACAAGUAGAGUGAUCGAAAGAUGAAAAGCACUUUGGAAAGAGAGUCAAACAGCACGUGAAAUUGUUGAAAGGGAAGCGCUUGCAGCCAGACUUGCCUGUAGUUGCUCAUCCGGGCUUUUGCCCGGUGCAUUCUUCUGCGGGCAGGCCAGCAUCAGUUUGGGCGGUUGGAUAAAGGUCUCUGUCAUGUACCUCUCUUCGGGGAGGCCUUAUAGGGGAGACGACAUGCAACCAGCCCAGACUGAGGUCCGCGCAUUUGCUAGGAUGCUGGCGUAAUGGCUGU